AGCGUGAACCUGAGAAGAUGAACCCUUUAACUAAAGUGAAGCUGAUCAACGAGCUGAAUGAGCGUGAGGUCCAGCUUGGGGUGGCAGAUAAGGUGUCCUGGCACUCCGAGUACAAAGACAGCACCUGGAUAUUCCUGGGAGGGCUUCCUUAUGAACUGACUGAAGGGGACAUCAUCUGUGUGUUCUCACAACAUGGGGAGAUUGUUAACAUUAAUUUGGUGCGGGACAAGAAGACUGGGAAAUCCAAAGGAUUCUGUUUCCUUUGCUAUGAAGACCAGAGGAGCACAAUUCUGGCUGUUGACAAUUUUAAUGGGAUCAAGAUCAAAGGAAGAACUAUUCGAGUGGAUCAUGUGUCCAACUAUCGAGCUCCCAAGGACUCCGAAGAAAUAGAUGAUGUGACCAAAGAACUCCAGGAGAGGGGCUGUGGGGCUCACACCCCCUCAGUGAGUUCAUCAGAGGGUUCUGAAGAUGACAAACCCACAAAACACAAAAAAGACAAAAAGGAGAAAAAGAGAAGAAAGAAAGACAAAGAGAAGACUGACCGGGAGGUCCAGGCGGAGCAGCCGGCCCCCUGGUCGCCACCCAGAAACAAAGUGGUAAGGGAAAAGGACGACCCUGGCUCUCAAAAGCGCAGUGACAGGAACUCAGAGUGGGGUCAGAAGUCAGAGCCCAGGGAGGUGCGGAAGCACCAGCCCAGCUCUCCAGAGGUCAGGGCGACCUGCCGCGGUGGAGAAGGGGACAGAGAGAGGGAGCCAAAGAAAGAAGCUGAAGCAUGAACAUAGGUCCUCAACCAGAGAAGAAAAGAACCGAGAUAGAGACCGAGGCCGAAGCUCAGACACACACUCCAGCCAGCCCAGUGAGCGUUCUGAGUGGCGUAGUCAGCGGAGUAGAAGCAGGAGCCGGGAGAGGUCCCACGGGCCGAAGAGGGCCCGGCGCUCACGGGACCAGGAGUCCUCUAACCCCGGUGACCGCAGGCACCACUGA